AGUGAACGCUGGCGGUAGGCCUAACACAUGCAAGUCGAACGGCAGCACAGUAAGAGCUUGCUCUUACGGGUGGCGAGUGGCGGACGGGUGAGGAAUACAUCGGAAUCUACUUUUUCGUGGGGGAUAACGUAGGGAAACUUACGCUAAUACCGCAUACGACCUACGGGUGAAAGUAGGGGAUCUUCGGACCUUGCGCGAUUGAAUGAGCCGAUGUCGGAUUAGCUAGUUGGCGGGGUAAAGGCCCACCAAGGCGACGAUCCGUAGCUGGUCUGAGAGGAUGAUCAGCCACACUGGAACUGAGACACGGUCCAGACUCCUACGGGAGGCAGCAGUGGGGAUUAUUGGACAAUGGGCGCAAGCCUGAUCCAGCCAUACCGCGUGGGUGAAGAAGGCCUUCGGGUUGUAAAGCCCUUUUGUUGGGAAAGAAAAGCAGCAGGUUAAUACCCCGCUGUUCUGACGGUACCCAAAGAAUAAGCACCGGCUAACUUCGUG
rnacentral:rRNA from 1 species